rnacentral:rRNA from 1 species
UACGAAGGGGGCUAGCGUUGCUCGGAAUCACUGGGCGUAAAGGGCGCGUAGGCGGCCAUUUAAGUCGGGGGUGAAAGCCUGUGGCUCAACCACAGAAUUGCCUUCGAUACUGGAUGGCUUGAGACCGGAAGAGGUAAGUGGAACUGCGAGUGUAGAGGUGAAAUUCGUAGAUAUUCGCAAGAACACCAGUGGCGAAGGCGGCUCACUGGCCCGAUACUGACGCUGAGGUGCGAAAGCGUGGGGAGCAAACAGG